rnacentral:rRNA from 1 species
UCCGUAGGGGUGACCUGCGGAAGGAUCAUUACGAAAUUCGGCGCGCUUCGGCGCUGCCUUAUUCACCCACCCUUUGUCUACGUGUACCUCUAUAGCUUCCUCGGCGGGCUCGCCCGCCGCCAGGAACCCACAAAACCCCUUGCAUUAUACACGAAAACUUCUGAUAACAAACCUAAAUUAUCACAACUUUCAACAAUGGAUCUCUUGGUUCUGGCAUCGAUGAAGAACGCAGCGAAAUGCGAUAAGUAGUGUGAAUUGCAGAAUUCAGUGAAUCAUCGAAUCUUUGAACGCACAUUGCGGCCAUAGGUAUUCCUUUGGCCAUGCCUGUUCGAGCGUCAUUUACACCCUCAAGCCUAGCUUGGUGUUGGGCGUCUGUCCCGCCGUUUUCGCGCGCGGACUCGCCUCAAAGUCAUUGGCGGCGGUCGUGCCGGCCCCUCGCGCAGCACAUUUGCGCUUCUCGGAGGCCCGGCGGAUCCGCGCUCCAGCAAAGACCUUUCAUGACUUGACCUCGGAUCAGGUAGGGAUACCCGCUGAACUUAAGCAUAUCAAUAAGACGGAGGA